UAUUAUCAUACGAAAAUCACAUUUGUGCGCCUAGAAGUCUAUUACAAUAAAAAACCUAAAUCCACACCGAUUCGUGACAAAAAACAAACCUAACUAACUAUACUUACUAAGUAGAAAAAUUUUCUACAGAACUUCAUCACAAUAGACAAAUUAAAACUAAAUUGAUUGUGAAACUUGCAAUGGCUUUUUCACACACCCUACCAAUUAUUACGAUUGUUUUAUUGAUGUGUCCAUCUUCGGUAAUUAGCAAUGCAGCAAUUAAUGUGACAAUGCCACAAUGACAGGUCGCUAUAUAAAAGGAGUAGCAGGAUGUUAUAAUUAAUAAGAACACAGGACACUCGUACCACCAUGUCUCGUAUUGUUAUUGUAAUGUGCCUCUUUGUGCUGGCUGCCGCGAUGCCCAACGAUGGGCACGAGCAAGGCCACGAGGAGGGCGCGAAGCAUCAGAAGAUGCCCGACUCCGAGAUGCCCAAACCCCAUGACCUUCCCAAAGUAUCUGCUCCACCAAAGCCACUAGACAACAAACCCCAGCCGGCCAUGAUGGGCCAUAACGAACAAAAGAAUUAAAUACGAGUAUUACAAGUGACUUCGGCAAUUUCACAAUGGACGCGAAUUUUUUAUGAAUUUAUGUACCGCUUAAUUAAUGAAUACAUUGCUUGCAAUUCAA